UUCAUGCUAAAUCUUGUUGUUUGAUUACUCUUUUAGAACAAAAAAACAAAAUGAUGUUAGUUUUAGUGAUCAUACUGAAUAUAAUCGGAUUAAUAUUCAAAGAUGUAAGAGCUCUACCAUGUCUCACAGAUGAAUCAAAAACAAAGUUCGACUCUCUUAAGAAGGCAUUGGAUGCUCUACAGAAUUCUAUAGACGACAAAAUAGAAAGUUUACAGAGUGAUGUAAAAAAUAAAGUGAAAAAAAUAGACGAUGACAUGGACUCUUUGGUUUCAGAUUUUCAGA
rnacentral:lncRNA from 1 species